AAAACAGCCCCAGCCCCAGGAAGGUGGAAGGAACAGAAGACCAGGGGCUGGUGCCCACAGGGAAACCACAACGAAUCCAUAAAACCGAGGCUGGCGAACCCCAGGCCUCCCAACUCCAACUACACAGGAGCCCCGGCACCGCCUCCCCUGGAAUCUGCCCCUCUGGCCUCCGUUUGCUCACCUGGGAAAUGGGGGGCCUGCACCACCCAGCUCCAGGGACUGCGAGGGAAUCGGCAGAGGGGGACGGAGCACCCUCCCUUCCCUUUGUGCAGACUCUCUCCUCCUCAGCCCGGCCUCCUCCUGGCCUCCAGAGCAGAGCUGGCCCCACAGCUGCAGCUCCCCCAGGAUCGAUGGGAGGAUCAAUUCCAGCAGAAGCACCAUGCUGUGGAGUGGGGGGGCUCUGCUGGGAAGCCUCCCAUUCCCCUCUUCCCCUCCCCCUCCCUUCCUCCCAUCCCCCUUCUGCUUCCUUCCCACCUCCCCUUCCUCUCAUCCCUUCUUCCUCAUCCUUUCCCUCCCCUCCCCCUCCCUCCUCCUCUUCCCCCUCCUCCUUCUCCCUCCUCCUCCCUCCUCCUUCUCCCUCCUCCUCCUCCCUCCACGCGCCUCCAGCUUCUGUCCUCUGAGCCUUGCCCAGGGUGCCUUGCCCUUCCACCACCCGUCUGCCCUUCCCGUUUGCGGGGUGGGCAGAGCCUGGUGACCACACCUGCCACGGCUUCUCCUGAGUGCUCAGAUGUCCUCCGGCAUGCACUACAUGUGUUUUAUCCCCACCCCAUGGAUAGGGAAACUGAGGCUCCAGAGGGGUCCCUGAUAUACGAAGUGAGGGUAGGGCUGGGCCUUCAGUCUGGAACCCACUCUCGACCCCCAGAGAGUGAAUUCCUGGGCACCACGAAGGUGCUUGGCUAUGAGGUACCCCAGGCUGACGGAGCUGGGCGGGCUGGGGUCAGAGGUCAUCGCCCCAGAAAGCAGCCCGGGGAGGUCCUGGUGUACCUCUCAGGAGCCUUCUGA
rnacentral:lncRNA from 1 species